rnacentral:rRNA from 1 species
AGGUGACCUACCCCUGGGCGGGGGACAACCUUCCGAAAGGAGGGCUAAUACCGCAUGAGACCACACCAUCAGGGAAGUGGUUAAAGUGGGCCUCUUCAUGAAAGCUCACACCCCGGGGAUGGGCCUGCGGCGCAUCAGGUAGUUGGUGAGGUAAAAGCUCACCAAGCCAAAGACGCGUAGCUGGUCUGAGAGGAUGAUCAGUCACACUGGAACUGAGACACGGUCCAG